rnacentral:misc_RNA from 1 species
GAUGAAGAACGCAGUGAAAUGCGAUAAGUAAUGUGAAUUGCAGAAUUCAGUGAACCAUCGAAUCUUUGAACGCACAUUGCGCCCGCUAGUAUUCUGGCGGGCAUGCCUGUUCGAGCGUCAUUUCAACCAUCAAGUUAUACUUACUUGCGUUGUGGAUAUGCGGCUGCCGCAUACCUUGAAACCUAGUGGCGGGCUCGCCUUUACACCGAGCGCAGUAAUACAUCUCGCUUUGGACGUAUGGCAAGUUCUAGCCGUUAAACACCCCACAUUUUAAGGUUGACCUCGGAUCAGGUAGGAUUACCCGCUGAACUUAAGCAUAUCAAUAAGCGGAGGA